rnacentral:rRNA from 1 species
GACAGAGGUCCCGAGCGUUAGGCGGAAUCACUGGGCUUAAAGCGUGUGUAGGCGGAUUGUUAAGUGCCUUGUGAAAUCCCAUGGCUUAACCAUGGAACUGCUUGGCAUACUGGCGGUCUUGAGCCACUUAGGGGCAACCGGAACAAAUGGUGGAGCGGUGAAAUGCGUAGAUAUCAUUUGGAACGCCAAUGGUGAAAACAGGUUGCUGGGAGUGUGCUGACGCUGAGACACGAAAGCCAGGGGAGCGAACGGG